GACGAACGCUGGCGGCGUGCUUAACACAUGCAAGUCGAACGGGAAGGCCUGCUUUCCCUUGUGGAUUGCGGGUACUCGAGUGGCGAACGGGUGAGUAACACGUGAGUGAUCUGCCCCCAACUUGGGUAUAAGCCUGGGAAACUGGGUCUAAUUCCCGAUAGGACUGCAGGGUGGUGCCUGUGGUGGAAAACGAUUUUCUAGUGGUUGGGGAUGAGCUCGCGGCCUAUCAGCUUGUUGGUGGGGUAAUGGCCUACCAAGGCGGCGACGGGUAGCCGGCCUGAGAGGGUGGACGGCCACAUUGGGACUGAGAUACGGCCCAGACUCCUACGGGAGGCAGCAGUGGGGAAUAUUGCACAAUGGGCGGAAGCCUGAUGCAGCGACGCCGCGUGGGGGAUGACGGCCUUCGGGUUGUAAGCUCCUUUCGACCGCGAGGAAGCCACCUGGUUGGAAGGGUGGUGACGGUAGUGGUAGAAGAAGCACCGGCUAACUACGUG
rnacentral:rRNA from 1 species